rnacentral:RNase_P_RNA from 4 species
AGAGAAGUGUGGCUUGUUGAUUCAGAUCUGUCUGAAUAGGAAAGUCCGGACACCAUAGGGCAGCAUAGCGGAUAACAUCCGUCAUUUGCGAAAAUAGGACAAGUGCAACAGAAAGCAAGUACAGUUCGGCUGUAGUGAAAACAGGUAAACUCUAUGCGGUGCAAUGCUAAGUAUAUCAUCAGUCAAGAGCGGCCCGCUCGUUGAUGAGGGGUAAGCAGCUAAAGAUUUGCAGUAAUGCAAAUUGCAGAUAAAUAACAGGCUAAAACAGAAUCCGGCUUACAGCACUUCUCUUUUC